AGCGAACGCUGGCGGCAGGCUUAACACAUGCAAGUCGAGCGCCCCGCAAGGGGAGCGGCAGACGGGAGAGUAACACGUGGGAACAUACCUUUUGGUUCGGAACAACUGAGGGAAACUUCAGCUAAUACCGGAUAAGCCCUUACGGGGAAAGAUUUAUCGCCGAAAGAUUGGCCCGCGUCUGAUUAGCUAGUUGGUGAGGUAACGGCUCACCAAGGCGACGAUCAGUAGCUGGUCUGAGAGGAUGAUCAGCCUCACUGGGACUGAGAAACGGCCCAGACUCCUACGGGAAGCAGCAGUGGGGAAUAUUGGAAAAUGGGGGCAACCCUGAUCCAGCCAUGACGCGUGAGUGAUGAAGGCCUUAGGGUUGUAAAGCUCUUUUGACCGGGAAGAUAAUGACGGUACCGGGAGAAUAAGCCCCGGCUAACUUCGUG
rnacentral:rRNA from 1 species